GAUGAACGCUGGCGGCGUGCCUAAUACAUGCAAGUCGAGCGAACGGACGAGAAGCUUGCUUCUCUGAUGUUAGCGGCGGACGGGUGAGUAAAACGUGGAUAACCUACCUAUAAGACUGGGAUAACUUCGGGAAACCGGAGCUAAUACCGGAUAAUAUUUUGAACCGCAUGGUUCAAAAGUGAAAGACGGUCUUGCUGUCACUUAUAGAUGGAUCCGCGCUGCAUUAGCUAGUUGGUAAGGUAACGGCUUACCAAGGCAACGAUGCAUAGCCGACCUGAGCGGGUGAUCGGCCACACUGGAACUGAGACACGGUCCAGACUCCUACGGGAGGCAGCAGUAGGGAAUCUUCCGCAAUGGGCGAAAGCCUGACGGAGCAACGCCGCGUGAGUGAUGAAGGUCUUCGGAUCGUAAAACUCUGUUAUUAGGGAAGAACAUAUGUGUAAGUAACUGUGCACAUCUUGACGGUACCUAAUCAGAAAGCCACGGCUAACUACGUG
rnacentral:rRNA from 1 species